ensembl:lncRNA
GAGAAUUAAGCAAGCAGGUAUAAUAGAAUAGACUCAGUUACAAUGAACUUCACUAGUCCACUGUAUCAAUAGGCCUAACUCUACAUACAACCAUCCAUACGAUAUUUUAGUAAUUACAUAUUGUACAUACAUGAUGGUGAUCAUGAUGAGGAUGAUGGUGACGUAGAACAGACAAACAUACAGUCAAGAAACAUGCAAAAUACAUAAAUGUAUAGUAAGAUGCAAUUUAAUUCCCUUUGCAGCUGUGACAUUAAAGUUAGUGUCAGUUAGAAUAAUUUGUGCUGUCCUAAGACAAAUACUUCCUGUACAGUGUGCGUACAGUAUAAUGAUGUGUGACUGAACAACAUGGCAAGGCAUGGCACAAGUAGUAGAGAGACACAAGCAUUGGAAAAUGUUAAGAUGAAGACUCCGCCCAUGAUCUACUGCAUAUGCAUUCACAGGGUAGGUACAUAUCAAGAGUCGCUUUAGGUGAAGAGAGAGAAGGACCACUGCCUUUAAAAUGAGUCUCUUUCAAGAAAGGAGAAGAGUUCAGCCUCUGAAAUGAGUCCUGCCGUGGAUUAGGACCCCUUCCAUGGAGCUAAGAAGUGAAAACAGUCUGUGCUGUAUGUUUGAGUAUCUGUGUGUGCAGAUAUGACUUGAGAUCUGAAAUCCUGCAAGGAGCUCAAUACAAUUCCAUCAUUUUCAGACAGUUUGAAUUAAAGCUGGAAUGUUUUUCUGUGUUGUCCUGAGGCCCCGUCCACAAGCAUAGACCGGCUGUAUGUCCAUGAAGAGUGACCAGUCUAUGAUGCUGCCAAUAGAAUUCAGACAGAAAGCUUUUCCUACAAAACAAGGGCCCAGCAUGAGAGAUCGGACUCACCUGUUACCUGUGUGUGUCCAUGAAGACUGCCUAUAGAAUUCAGACAGAAAGCCUUUCCUACAAAACAAGGGUACCUUCCCAUGCAUAUAUUUUUUGUUGGGUGACAUUUUAUUCAAAUCAAAUGUAUUUAUAUAGCCCUUCUUACAUCAGCUGAUAUCUCAAAGUGCUGUACAGAAACCCAGCAUAAAACCCCAAACAGCAAGCAAUGCAGGUGUAGAAGCACGGUGGCUAGUAAAAACUCCCUAGAAAGGCCAAAAUCUAGGAAAAACCAGGCUAUGAGGGGUGGCCAGCCCUCUUCUGGCUGUGCCGGGGUGGAGAUUAUAACAGAACAUGGCCAAGAUGUUCAAAUGUUCAUAAAUGACCAGCAUGGUCAAAUAAUAAUAAUCACAGUAGUUGUCGAGGGUGCAGCAAGUCAGCACCUCAGGAGUAAAUGUCAGUUGGCUUUUCAUAGCUGAUCAUUCAGAGUAUCUCUACCUCUCCUGCUGUCUCUAGAGAGUUGAAAACAGCAGGUCUGGGACAGGUAGCACAUCCGGUGAACAGGUCAGGGUUCCAUAGCCGCAGGCAGAACAGUUGAAACUGGAGCAGCAGCACGGCCAGGUGGACUGGGAACAGAAAGGAGUCAUCAUGCCAGGUAGUCCUGAGGCAUGGUCCUAGGGCUCAG